UGGGGAAUUUUGGACAAUGGGCGCAAGCCUGAUCCAGCCAUGCCGCGUGCGGGAAGAAGGCCUUCGGGUUGUAAACCGCUUUUGUCAGGGAAGAAAUCUUCUGAGUUAAUACCUCGGGAGGAUGACGGUACCUGAAGAAUAAGCACCGGCUAACUACGUGCCAGCAGCCGCGGUAAUACGUAGGGUGCAAGCGUUAAUCGGAAUUACUGGGCGUAAAGCGUGCGCAGGCGGUUUUGUAAGACAGAGGUGAAAUCCCCGGGCUCAACCUGGGAACUGCCUUUGUGACUGCAAGGCUUGAGUGCGGCAGAGGGGGAUGGAAUUCCGCGUGUAGCAGUGAAAUGCGUAGAUAUGCGGAGGAACACCGAUGGCGAAGGCAAUCCCCUGGGCCUGCACUGACGCUCAUGCACGAAAGCGUGGGGAGCAAACAGGAUUAGAUACCCUGGUAGUCACGCCCUAAAACGAUGUCAACUGGUUGUUGGGAAGGUUCCUUCUCAGUAACGUAGCUAACGCGUGAAGUUGACCGCCUGGGGAGUACGGCCGCAAGGUUGAAAACUCAAAUGAAUUGACGGGG
rnacentral:rRNA from 1 species